UGUGUUUGUUGUUUACGUUCUGUUGCAGGUAAGAUGAACAAAAAAAGUACUACAUCCAGUGAAAGACAAAUAUCAUUUAAUGUGCACAGUAUAAGAUAAGAGUUACUUAUUGUUUCUUGAUUGGAGACGCAGGUCUAGGCAGUUUUUAUAACAUGCUUUGUGACCCCAAGCAAUCCCAGGGCUCUGAGCACACGGUCUAUUCAAUUUGCAAGUCAGGACGUUGGUAUAAGAGAAAUCACG